rnacentral:rRNA from 1 species
UUACUUCAUGGAGAGUUUGAUCCUGGCUCAGGACGAACGCUGGCGGCGUGCCUAAUACAUGCAAGUCGAGCGGACCGACGGGAGCUUGCUCCCU